AGUCAAUAGAUACCCGGGUAGUCCACGCCGUAAACGAUGAAUACUAGGUGUAGGAGGUAUCGACUCCUUCUGUGCCGCAGUUAAAACACAAUAAGUAUUCCGCCUGGGGAGUACGGUCGCAAGAUUAAAACUCAAAGGAAUUGACGGGGGCCCGGCACAAGCAGCGGAGCAUGUGGUUUAAUUACGAAGCAACGCGAAGAACCUUACCUAGACUUGACAUCUUCUGCAUUAAUCGUAAUGGAUGAAAUACCCUUCGGGGUACGAGAAUGACAGGUGGUGCAUGGUUGUCGUCAGCUCGUGUCGUGAGAUGUUGGGUUAAGUCCCGCAACGAGCGCAACCCCUACUUAUUAGUUGCUAACAUUAAGUUGAGCACUCUAGUGAGACUGCCCGGGUUAACCCGGGUAGGAAGGUGGGGAUGACGUCAAAUCAUCAUGCCCCUUACUGUCUAGGGCUACACACGUGCUACAAUGGUGGGAACAAACGAGAUGCAAUACCGCGAGGUGGAGCUAAACUCAAAACCCCAUCCCAGUUCGGAUUGUAGGCUGAAACUCGCC
rnacentral:rRNA from 1 species